GUUGUGGUCUAGCUUGCAUGGUAUGAACAUGCAUGCAGCUUCAGUUCAAGGACUCUGGUAUAGCCGGGGAUUACAACACUUCGCAUGUAUAUGCAUAUAAUUAUGUAUAAUUAUAUAUAGUGUGGAAUAAAACAACUUACAGCUAUAGAUUCUGAAGUUGUCAGUAUCAUAUCCUUGAAACUGUAUUUGGAUACAAAGAUGAAGACCUUUAUUUUGUUGAGCAUCAUUGCCAUGGUAGCCAUGGUGUCUGCUGCACCUACUGUCAAUAAUGGUGGGCUGAAGACUGCAUUAGAGAUAGCAGUCAAGCAAGUGGCAGUAGGUGCAGAUGUGGGUAAGAUUCACCAGGGGGGUAUCUGUUGCCUGUUUAUAUUGCCGUGUUGCACCAGUGGAUAAUGUUGCGGACUUCUAUAUUGAACUGGAAAGACACAAAUGGACUAACUUGAAACUGUGACUGUAUAAUUGUAUAAUUAUGUAGCAUACCUGAUUUAGUAUAUCUUUUGUAGACUGAGUAAAUAAAGUUCUUUACAAUGCUGAAUGUUGUCCUGGCAUAAUUUUAAUUUUAUAAAGUGAA